rnacentral:rRNA from 1 species
AUUGAACGCUGGCGGCAGGCCUAACACAUGCAAGUCGAGCGGGCGGCGGACGGGUGAGUAAUGUAUGGGGAUCUGCCUAAUGGCGGGGGCUAACUACUGGAAACGGUAGCUAAUACCGCAUACCAUCCGAUGAACCCAUAUGGGAUUAGCUUGUAGGUGAGGUAACGGCUCACCUAGGCGACGAUCCCUAGCUGGUCUGAGAGGAUGAUCGGCCACACGGGGACUGAGACACGGCCCAGACUCCUACGGGAGGCAGCAGUGGGGAAUAUUGCGCAAUGGGGGCAAGCCUGACGGAGCCAUGCCGCGUGAGUGAAGAAGGCCUUCGGGUUGUAAAGUUCUGUCGGUAGCGAGGCGUUAACUACAGAGGAAGCAACGGCUAACUCCGUGCCAGCAGCCGCGGUAAUUC